rnacentral:lncRNA from 1 species
AUAGACUCAAUGUGCCUCUAGCCUUUAUGAAGAAGAAGAUGAGGACCAGUGGUCGUAAGGCAAGGAAGUGGGAGAAGUUCCUAAUGAAGAAGAAGAUUACAGAAAGUGGCUAAAGUGUGGGAGAGCUUCUGUUGGAAGUAGAGUCUUUAGUAUCUUAUCUAAAUAAAGAGGAUGAACAAUGUGAUGUCGUUUUGGUGAGUUAGUAGAGUCUGUAUUUAAGUGGACUGCCCGAUUAGGGUUCUCUUUAUGCAAUGAA